CCUAGAGAUUUGUCUGUUUGCCAGUAUGUGCAGCUUGAGUCCAAACAAUUUGCUUGCGCUUGUUAGUACAAAUUUUAUGAUAGUUAUAUAAUUCUAUAAUUUUUUAUUAGGUGGCAGUUUUGAAGAAAAUUUGAAAUGUUUUUCUAUAGAAAAUUGUUAUAUUAUUGUUAGGAAGUUAGUUUUAGCCUUUAGAAAAAGAUAUUAAAAUUAUUCUUUUUCCUUUUUUUGCUACCUUUGCAAAAAAAUUCCAGCCAUGAUUGUCAAAAUUUAGUACCACUUAUUAAUGUUGUCUAAGUUUAAGAAGGCUAAUGUCAUAAAUUAUUAAUAUUCAGCAGUUCAUGGAGAAUUACCCUCCAAAAAUGAAAUUUAAAAUUUUUUUAGGUACAGAUUUGAAUGUAAAAUGUGUACUAAAAGAUCAGGCAUAAUAUAUAAUUAGAUAAGAAAAGUACUAAGUGGAGUUGCACAAACAAGAGGAAGAGAGGCUUGGGUGUUAGAUGUCUCUCUUCAUUCAACAAGGCCAUUCUUUGUGAGUGGAGCUGGCAAUAUGCAUCUGAAAGGGAGGAUUCAAAGAUACUUUUUGAUCAGUUUAUUGUAUUUUUUAGAGGAUUCCUCAUCCUUUUUUAGUAUUUCUUUUUCCAUAUUUAUUACAUUUUUUGUUUUUGAAUAAAAAAAUGAUUUUGAAAGGUAAGCUCUAUGGAAGAAAGUCAUAGGUGGAAAAUAUGGGGAGGAAGAACGGUUGGCAUUCUUGUAAAGUGAGAGAUGAGUACGGGUUUGAGUUGAAAGGAUUGAGAUCUCUUUAAUAGUAGAGCCUCCUUUUUGUUGGUAAUAGGAGGAGGGCAAAGUUUUGGAAGGAUAAAUGGUGUGGUGAUAAGCCUUCGAAUGCAUCCUUCCCCUCUUUAUAUGUCUUAACCAUAUCGAAAGAGGCUUGGGUGGCGAACUUAUGGGACCAAACCAGUGAAGGGGGUCACUUGAAUCCCCUUUUUUAAUAGGCAUUUGAAUGAUUGGGAGCUAGAUGAAGUAGGGCAUUUCUUUUCUAGACUACAAGGGAAGACAAUGAUUAGGGAAGGAGAGGAUGGGGUGGUUUGUAUGGAUUCGAGUAAUGGAACUUUUUCCAUCAAAACUUUAUAUUUCAGGUUGAAGCUAGGAAGAUCAAUUCUUUUUCCGGAGUAAUUUGGAAUUCCUGAGUAUUGUUUAAAGUGAAUUUUUUUGCUUGAGAGGUUAGCUAGGAAAAGUGUUGAUUUUAGAUCAGCUUCAGAGGAUAUGGCAAUCGUUGGUAAACAAACGCUUACCUUGUGAAGUCGAGGAAUAAUCUAUUGAUCACAUUUUCCUUCACUAUGCCAAGACAAGCGUUUUACUGCAGUUGUCUUUUUUCUGUGUGGCAUACCUUGGGUGAUAUCUUCCUCAGUGAGAGAGACUAUCUUAGGCUGGGAUAAGGAGCAUUUUGAUCAAAGACCGAAAAACAUUUUUCUUGGAUCAGAAACCACCAUUUUAUUGCAAUAAAGUAUUAAAUACAAAAGAAGGAUGAGGAAUUCCUCCACCAAGUAUACAAUCAGCUGUACAAUUGAUCAAAAGCAGAAGGUAAGUGUAUGCUACUCCAAACAUCAAUGCUAACUAAACAUCUAAUGAUGGUUGCAAGAACAAAAAAAAAAAAAA